UUAAUAUGGAUGCUUACCUUGAAUUAACAGAUAUUUAAAGAGAUGGUCGCAAACAUAGUGGCUUACUAUAAUGUCUUAAACUUUAAACUUCAAAUCCGACCAAUAAUAUUUUUUAAUACAGAUUUUCAAAAAAAUCUUUAACCAUUUCGUGAAAAGUGGGGAAAGUGUUGCUCAUGCCGUUGGUGUUAUUAGCAACUGGCUUAAAACUCAGGAUCACCUUUCUGAAAUACCAGAUCAUGUAGAAGAGGAAUCUGAGUCUCGAGGGGAGUCUGACGAAGAAGAAGACAGUGAAUAUUUAAGCUCAGAUAAGGAGUUUGAAGAAGAAGUACAAGAUUCGGACACAGAAUUAAUUUAGUUUAUACUUUUAUACUUUUCUACCUAUAUAUUUAUAAUAAUAAAUCUGUCUUUUUCUAUCAUA